AUCGUACGGGAGGCAGCAUGGGGAAUAUUGGACAAUGGGGGAAACCCUGAUCCAGCGACGCCGCGUGAGUGAAGAAGUAUUUCGGUAUGUAAAGCUCUAUCAGCAGGAAAGAAAAUGACGGUACCUGACUAAGAAGCCCCGGCUAACUACGUGCCAGCAGCCGCGGUAAUCGAU
rnacentral:rRNA from 1 species